UACAAUUUGAUAUAGAUAUGUUAACAAAGGCAAUGGAAUUAAACAACACAUAGCAAAUAACACAUCAAGGUUUUCAGGAUGGGUUAGGAAAUCAUCAUUACACGAUAGAAGAUGGCAAGUUGGCAGCUAAAUGAGGCUCUCCAUGACGCAACUGAAGCCGGAGAUUUAGAAAAGGUCAGGAAUUAUCUUGCCAAAGGUGCAGAU